UUCGUUGAAAGAUUCAUUGACCACGGAUUGGCUCGCGUGCCAUUAGGUAGACGGCGGGGUAACGGCCCACCGUGCCGACGAUGGCUAGGGGUUCUGAGAGGAAGGUCCCCCACAUUGGAACUGAGACACGGUCCAGACUCCUACGGGAGGCAGCAGUGAGGAAUAUUGGACAAUGGCCGGAAGGCUGAUCCAGCCAUGCCGCGUGCGGGAGGACGGCCCUAUGGGUUGUAAACCGCUUUUGCGAGGGAGCAAUAAUCACUACGUGUAGUGAGAUGAGAGUACCUUACGAAUAAGCAUCGGCUAACUCCGUGCCAGCAGCCGCGGUAAUACGGAGGAUGCAAGCGUUAUCCGGAUUUAUUGGGUUUAAAGGGUGCGUAGGCGGCUUGGUAAGCGGGAGGUGAAAUGCCGGCGCUCAACGUCGGAAGUGCCUCCCGAACUGUCGGGCUUGAAUGACACUGCCGUGGGAGGAAUGUGUGGUGUAGCGGUGAAAUGCAUAGAGAUCACACAGAACACCGAUUGCGAAGGCAUCUCACGAAGUGUUGAUUGACGCUGAGGCACGAAAGCGUGGGGAUCAAACAGG
rnacentral:rRNA from 1 species